UACAGAGGUCUCAAGCGUUGUUCGGAUUCAUUGGGCGUAAAGGGUGCGUAGGCGGCGCGGUAAGUCGGGUGUGAAGUUUCGAGGCUUAACUUCGAAGCUGCAUUCGAUACUGCCGUGCUUGAGGACUGGAGAGGAGACUGGAAUUUACGGUGUAGCGGUGAAAUGCGUAGAUAUCGUAAGGAAGACCAGUGGCGAAGGCGGGUCUCGUGGACAGUUC
rnacentral:rRNA from 1 species